GGGGCCUUAGCUCAGCUGGGAGAGCGCCUGCUUUGCACGCAGGAGGUCAGCGGUUCGAUUCCCGCUAGGCUCCA
rnacentral:tRNA from 1 species